AUGGGAGCAGCUCUAUCGCGCCGCCAAGCAACCACCGUGUGCGCCCCGCCACCGGAGCUCCCCAGCGAGCUCAUCGAAGAGAUCCUCUUCCGCCUCCCGCCCGACGACCCGGCCUGCCUCCUCCGCGCCUCCCUCAUCUGCAAGGCCUGGAGCCACACCGCCUCCCGCCCUGGAUUCCGACGUCGCCUCCACAAGCGCCACGGGGCAGCCCCCGUGCUCGGCUUCCUCCACAACUGGGACAACGAGUGCAUCCCCCACUUCGUCCCCACCGUCGCCUCCUCCUUCUCCCUGGCCGCGCCAGACUGGCGCUCCUGGCAGGCCAUCGACUGCCGCCACGGCCGCGCCCUCUUCUGCUCCAAGGGCGCCUGGGAGCUCCUCGUGUGGGAGCCAAUCACGGGCGCCCAGCAGCGCCUAGCGGUGCCCCCGGCGUUCAAGAUCUGUGUCCCGUUCGAGCCGGCCUAUGCCGUCUUCUGCGCGGCCGAUGGGUGCGACCACCGCAACUGCCUCGGAGGCCCUUUCGGCGUGGCCUUCGCCUUCUGCUUCGAGGACGAAGAUGCUGCCGAUGAGGAGUAUGUCACGUCGGCGUGCGUAUACUCGUCGGAGCACGGAACCUGGGGCCAGCUGAUCUCGAUGCGCAGCGAGUUCAUGAUAAGCUUUGAAAAUUCUUCCAGCGGCGUGCUCAUUAGGAGGUCCCUGCUCUAUUUCUUGUCCAACGUUGGGUCGAUCCUGGAGUACGAUUUAGCAAGGCAUGGCUUGACUGAGUUCGACGCACCAAACCACGAGUCUGGUAACGAUGCAGAGAGAUUUAAUCUCAUGGUGUCAGAGGGCGGUGGCCUGGGUCUUUGUGAAGAACUGGAUGUGCGCCUCAAACUGUGGACAAGGGAGGUGAGUGACGGAACUAUGAUGGGUAACCGGGUAAUCCACUUGGAUAAUUUGCUCCCAAAUGGUGCUCGGAUGGAUGCAGAAACUAGACUGAUCGUGGUGGGGUUUGCCGAGGGAGCGAAUGUCAUUUUCCCUAACACAUUUUCUGGCCUCUUCACAAUCGAGCUACAGUCGGACCGGGUGAAGAAGGUGUGUCAUGAUCGUGGCUCCUGUAAAUUGAUUCCAGUUGUCAGCUUCUACACUCCUGUGGACCGUGGCGGAUACCAGGAUCUGCUAUCGUCGACCCCUAGUCAGGAGGUAGGUGGUGAGGAGGGGGGAGAGGAGGAGAAAACAGCAGAUGAGGCACAACAGCUGCUUGACAAGGGGUCCAAUACUAUCAAGGAGUGGUGCUUUGUCGACACCUUUGAACGUCUCAGCCAUGACCUCAAUACCAGGUGA
rnacentral:rRNA from 1 species